rnacentral:rRNA from 1 species
UACGGGGGGGGCAAGCGUUGUCCGGAUUUAUUGGGCGUAAAGAGCGUGUAGGCGGCCGUACAGGUCAGCUGUGAAAACUCGAGGCUCAACCUCGAGACGUCGGUUGAAACCGUACGGCUAGAGUCCGGAAGAGGAGAGUGGAAUUCCCGGUGUAGCGGUGAAAUGCGCAGAUAUCGGGAAGAACACCCGUGGCGAAGGCGGCUCUCUGGGACGGUACUGACGCUGAGACGCGAAAGCGUGGGGAGCGAACAGG